CUGUGGGAGCGCGGGCUGUGGUGGGCAGGACCGGUUGGCGGAGGAUUGACUUGAAGCAACGUAGCCGGCGCGCCGGCGCGCAUUUGGCGUGCAGUUUUGCGCGCGCGUUUUUUCGCCGCUUCCUUUCGUUGGCUUUUCUGUUUUGUUUUUCUCGUUCGGUUUCUGUUGAUUUUUGUAGCUUCUUCUUGUACUGUCUCAUGCAUUUUACAAAUAUUUUGCGGUUCGAAGCUUUGCU
rnacentral:lncRNA from 1 species